rnacentral:sRNA from 1 species
AGCAGCCGCGGUAAUUCCAGCUCCAAUAGCGUAUAUUAAAGUUGUUGCAGUUAAAAGCUCGUAGUUGAAUUUCGGGGUUAGUAGGUUGGUCAUGCCUCUGGUAUGUACGGGUCUCACUGAUUCCUCCUUCCUGAUGAACCGUAAUGCCAUUAAUUUGGUGUUGCGGGGAGACUGGACUGUUACUUUGAAAAAUUAGAGUGUUUAAAGCAGGCUAACGCUUGAAUACAUUAGCAUGGAAUAACGGAAUAGGACGUUCGAUCUUAUUUUGUUGGUUUCUAAGAUUGACGUAAUGAUUAAUAGGGAUAGUUGGGGGCAUUAGUAUUCAAUUGUCAGAGGUGAAAUUCUUGGAUUUAUUGAAGACUAACUACUGCGAAAGCAUUUGCCAAGGAUGUUUUCAUUAAUCAAGAACGAAAGUUAGGGGAUCGAAGACGAUCAGAUACCGUCGUAGUCUUAACCAUAAACUAUGCCGACUAGGGGUCGGAUGAUGUUAAUUUUUUAAUGACUCAUUCG